rnacentral:rRNA from 1 species
AUUGAACGCUGGCGGCAGGCCUAACACAUGCAAGUCGAGCGGAUGAGAGGAGCUUGCCUCUUGAUUCAGCGGCGGACGGGUGAGUAAUGCCUAGGAAUCUGCCUGGUAGUGGGGGACAACGUUUCGAAAGGAACGCUAAUACCGCAUACGUCCUACGGGAGAAAGCAGGGGACCUUCGGGCCUUGCGCUAUCAGAUGAGCCUAGGUCGGAUUAGCUAGUUGGUGAGGUAAUGGCUCACCAAGGCGACGAUCCGUAACUGGUCUGAGAGGAUGAUCAGUCACACUGGAACUGAGACACGGUCCAGACUCCUACGGGAGGCAGCAGUGGGGAAUAUUGGACAAUGAGCGGAAGCCUGAUCCAGCCAUGCCGCGUGUGUGAAGAAGGUCUUCGGAUUGUAAAGCACUUUAAGUUGGGAGGAAGGGUUGUACGUUAAUACCGUGCAAUUUUGACGUUACCGACAGAAUAAGCACCGGCUAACUCUGUGCCAGCCGCCGCGGUAA